rnacentral:lncRNA from 1 species
AGUCGUCGACGCAUUUCGAGACAUCGAUCUUAGUUGAUUGACACCACUACAGGUGGGUGGUGCUAUCCGAAGUCUUUGAAUCACCUUUUAUGUCUAUGAUAUUUCAUUGAACAUAUUUACUUUGUAGUCAUGCAUUAUAGGGUAGUGGCAUUGUGAAGGUGAUAUUUGAAUAUGUGAAUGCUUAUCAAUAUUGAGAAAAUGUGAACUUAGAAUGUGGACAUAGAACCCUAUGAAUGCAUGGACUAUAACAAUAGUAAAUUUGGUGACAUUCUAACUAGAGAUUUGGUUAGCAUCGAAAAAUGAAAUUGCAACUAGCAUAAAGAGCUAGUUAGAAUUAAAGUGUGACAUUGUCUGUUGUUGAAUCCUCUAAAGGAGGAUCAGAUCAUACUCACAUAGUCUGUUUUGAGCUUGGUGGUGGUCGCUCGACCCAAGCAGUGCACUCCGGAGUGGUCACUUGAUGGGCUAAAGUAUUUGCCCUUGGACUAAAGUAUCUGUCCAGCAGACGGUCCCGUCGGGAGGCAGCUUAGGGCUCGCCAGGGAUUGAGUUGGUGAGUUACAGUUAACCAAAUGGUUAGCUAGAUUGACUGAGUAUUGGUACAUUACAGCAUGCAUGCAUAUUUACAGUUUUCAUAUAUAUCGUUCUUUCAGCUUUGUACAGGCAUUGUAGUAGUUACAUGUUAUAGUUGGUUACUAUCUGUUUACUUCUUUUGUCUACAUAUGCCUGAAUAGACCUAAUUGGUGAGUCGGCGAGGUCGGCGGCCGAACCCACUGGGAACUUUCAGUAGUUCUCAUACCACUAACCAUACAGGUUCCAGUGCAAGCGGUGUGGCCGAGGAUCGUGGCAAGAGCCCCGCAGCUUAGCUAGCUGACACCAGAGUUUUAGUAGUUUACCAUUUUGGGUUUCAUGUUUACAUUUUGAUGUACAGAGACAUGUAAGUGAAUGUAUUAUAAAGCAUGUAAAUAACUAAAUGUUUCAGUUAUACAGUUCAGUUUGAAAGUUUUAAAUUACAGUGAAUUUUCAGUAUAGCUAGCUUACUAUCACUUGUGCUUGUUGCUUGCCCUCGUGCAAGCCAUGUAUAUUGAAAUGUUAUCCUGAAAAUUGUUUAUUUCUUUAUACAUGUACCUGUUGUUGUUGAGCCUUGGGCGGACAGAGGAGGUUCUGUCCGUUCGGCGUCUGUGUACGGGCCCGGAUCGACCAAAUUGGCGAUAGCGAGACGUGACAGAUAAGGUGGUAUCAGAGCAAGUGAUAAGUGAAGUCUAAGAUGACCUAGGGGACUCAGGAUUGGAAACCUAGGAAACAGGAACGUGAGUGGCGUGAAUCAAAUGAUAGCGAAAGCUAAACAAAUUGGGUUAGUUGUUAGUAAGUCUCUAAUGUUAAUUAGGGGCUAAUCCAAGUGUUAUUUAUAUGCAACUAAAAAGAGUUAUGUUGGUGGCCAACAACAUAAAGCUAAGGGUUGAGUAUAAAUAUGCUUGAUUGCUUUCGCCUUAUUGGUUUUGCUUUACUAAUGUGAAUGGUUCAUUUCAGGAGAAAUGCCACCGCGACGUGCGACGAGAUCCACUCCGGCAUCACCUUCUGAGGUGCCAGAGCAGUCUGGGUCUAAUGAUGUUCAGG